GCUGGAGUGGCGCGAUCUCAGCUCACUGCAAGCUCCACCUCCCAGGUUCAUGCCAUUCUCCUGCCUCAGCCACCCAAGUAGCUGGGACUACAGGCACCCGCCACCAUGCAUGGCUUUUUGUAUUUUUAGUAGAGACGGGUUUUCACCGUGUUAGCCAGGAUGGUCUCGAUCUCCUGACCUCGUGAUCCACCUGCCUCGGCCUCCCAAAGUGCUGGGAUUAUAGGUGAACCCAGGGCAGCAAGCAACAGUGUGAUCUUCUACUCACCAAAUCCAGAAGUAAGACCAGGGCAGUCCAGUCAAGGCUGCCCAACACCUGCCAUUUCCAUAUGGUUCACCCCACUGCUGAAUUUCCCACAUGGCUGGACCAGAGACAUGUAUGGGCACUUUGGUUUGGACAAACCACACACCAAAGCAAAUGCAUACUGACAUACAUUUAAUUUGAGCAUGUUCUGAAUGUUGUCUGACACCAUGAAAUACUGUUCUUCCAGGGAGGUCAAGGAAACGGCUGUAGCAAAUGCAAGGAAAGGGCUUCCCAUUGCCCUCCUUAGAGAGAACAGGAGGCACUGAUAACUCCCAGCAACAAGACACUGUCUACAAGGGAUUAUUUCCUCUGUGAUAUCCUAGCACUGCACCACAGAGGUUAACUUCUGAAGCAGUAUAAGAGGAAGUAGUAGCUCUAUCAAUCAAGAUAAGUGGUGUGGGUGUGAAGACAGGCCAACAUCGGGCAGAAAACUAUCACACUGGGCUUCCACUUCCAGUUUCAGUGUAAAAAUACAUGUAACAUUCUGAACAUUUUCAUCAUUUUCUCCAGCCGCACCCUAUCUCCUUAACCCAAACACACUGAGUCCAGAAAGACAAUCAGAGAUUUCCUUUGUAUAUGAAAAUUCUCCUUACUCAUUUGUUCUUCCCCAUAAGCUAAUUAACAUUGUUUAUUUCAGACCAGGGACUGGUUUUUCCUGACUAUUCUGUACACCAUUUUAAUCAGCAGAAUGUAACUAACAAGCUUAAAGAGCCACUCAAUACUGAAUCAGCAGCUCAUACCAUAUGCUUGGGUAAAAACAUACUUCCCAAAAAAGCUAAAUGCAGAAAGACCAAGGAUAGAAGAUGUAUUUAAUACUCAAGAAGUCUAACAGGAUGUGGAAUAUUGAGAUUUUAAGGGGGAAAAGUUAUUCUUUAAAUACAUCUACCCUAGUCACCGGGCUAGCUUAGUCAAUAGAGUAUGAGACAAGACUUAAAUAUAUCUUAAAACAUCUUUCUUAUACCAGUUUUGCUACAACUUUUAACUCCAAAACAGUAUUUUAAGGAAAAAAAAAUCAAAUUACAAAAACAACUUCAUCUUAGCUUCUUAGUGCUAAUUUUUUUUAAAGAUGCAAAAAAUCAUGUAUUUUCUCAGAAACAUGGUUAUGUGGUCAACAGAUUUCUUAACAACAGAGUUCUAAAUUUUGGAUAAAAUUUAUAUAUCCAGCUUUAUUCUGGUAUUACCCAAAUUCAUGUUUGAGUGGGAAAGAAAAACCAAACCACAUUAUAAAUUUAAAUUUUAAGAAAAAACCUUUGACAGGUCAGAAAUUAGUUUAUAUUUUGCUUUACAUACACCAUUCUAAAAGGAAGGAAACACUAACUGAAGGCCUGGUUUUACAUUAGCAUAUUCAUGUAAUAAGCACAGAUUAAGUUUGAAACUUCUUAAGCAGAUCUAUUACGUAUUUUCUCAUUUUCAAAAACAUCUUAGAAAACUGUCUCUUUUAGAGGAAUGAAAACAGCCUGACAGACUACAUGUUUUCUUGGAAUGAAGUCUCCCCCAAUUUCUUGUAGCCCUAACAACUAAAACCAUGAGCUGAUUUCCACGUUAAACAUGCUUCUGUGCAGCAAUCUAAAAACACUCUUUCACAACCACGGGAUGAACUAUUUCAUUGGAAUUUAAAAUUUGCUUUUUGAAUUAUAUGAAAGCUUUUCAUGUAUAAGUGAUUAAAAGGAUUUGUAAACCAAUAAAUAUUUCUACAUUUAAAAUCU
rnacentral:lncRNA from 1 species